rnacentral:rRNA from 1 species
AGAUCGUGAGAUGGAGCAAAUCCCAGAAAUAACGUCCCAGUUCGGAUUGUAGUCUGCAACCCGGCUACAUGAAGCUGGAAUCGCUAGUAAUCGCGGAUCAGAAUGCCGCGGUGAAUACGUUCCCGGGUCUUGUACACACCGCCCGUCACACCAUGGGAGCCGGAAAUGCCCGAAGUCAGUGACCCAACCGCAAGGAGGGAGCUGCCGAAGGUGGAGCUGGUAACUGGGGUGAAGUCGUAACAAGGUAAC